CAGCAAUAUCAUGUUGAAACACCAGUACUCAUAUGAUCCCCAAAGUUAAGUAAUGUUGAACCUGGUCAGUACCUAGAUGGGUGAUCACUUAGAAAGACCAGGUACUGUAA